rnacentral:lncRNA from 1 species
CUGAUGGCCCAAUUAUCUUAAACAAAAUAACAUCAUCUCCCAAACUUCUCAACCAAGUUAUGCACACAGAAGCUUUUAAGCACAGUAGUAUCUAGUAAAAAUCAGAAAUUGAAAACAAUCGAAUCAAGUAUUAAAUUAAUUAAGGAAACAUAAUGACAAAUACAGAUUUCAACACUUGGAGCUAUUAAAAAAAAUCAAGACAAAAUAGAGACGAACCUUAAGGAUUGAAACUUUAUAUUUAUUUGAUAGAAUUUCCAGUCACGUUCAAAGCUUGAAAAAUGAAUCGGCAACCAAACUUAAACAACGGUAACAACCACACCGGAGAAACUCGAAUAGAACUUAUCGAAGAGACAAUUAUCGACCCGACUCGAACUUGUGGUGGCGUUUUGCAGCUGGGUUUGUUGCUGAUUUUCAGCUAACUUUUUGUUGCUUUUUUUACUAUUUUCGCAGCUAAUUUGCUGUUAUUUUUGGAGCUGGAUUUUUCGUCUUUUUUGGCUAAAAAAAGGGCGAGAGUUGCUGAGUUUUUGGCUAAUUUUUGGGCUGGUUUUGCUGGUUUUAAGAGGUGAAGUUUGGUGUAUUUUUACUGGCUUUUGGGAGGUUGCUUUGAGACUGCUUCAAGAUAGGUUUCAUGGAUGUUUAGAUCUGGUUUUUAGGUGGCUUUUGGGGUUAGUUUUAUGGGUGUUUUGGUGAGGUUUUGGAGCUGGUUAGCAGGUGUUGAGGUAAGGGAGGGUCACUGGUGUUUCUCAAGUGUAAGAUUUAAUGGAGUUUUUUGGAUGAAUUUGGUUGGCUCCUCGAGAAGAAGGUGAAAAGCAGUUCAAGACCAAAAUGAGGGGGUCCUCCAAGGUCAGAAACGGCGGAUUGUCUUGUAGACAAUGGAUCUAUAUUUUUU